UCGUGAGACAGGUUAGUUUUACCCUACUGAUGAAUGUUACCGCAAUAGUAAUUGAACUUAGUACGAGAGGAACAGUUCAUUCGGAUAAUUGGUUUUUGCGGCUGUCUGAUCAGGCAUUGCCGCGAAGCUACCAUCCGCUGGAUUAUGGCUGAACGCCUCUAAGUCAGAAUCCAUGCUAGAACGCGGUGAUUUCUUUGCUCCACACAACAUAGAUGGAUACGAAUAAGGCGUCCUUGUGGCGUCGCUGAACCAUAGCAGGCUAGCAACGGUGCACUUGGCGGAAAGGCCUUGGGUGCUUGCUGGCGAAUUGCAAUGUCAUUUUGCGUGGGGAUAAAUCAUUUGUAUACGACUUAGAUGUACAACGGGGUAUUGUAAGCAG
rnacentral:rRNA from 1 species